UACGUAGGGUGCGAGCGUUGUCCGGAAUCAUUGGGCGUAAAGCGCGUGUAGGCGGUUCGAUAAGUCUGCUGUGAAAGUCGGGGGCUCAACCCUCGAAAGCCGGUGGAUACUGUCGGGCUAGAGUGCGGAAGAGGCGAGUGGAAUUCCCGGUGUAGCGGUGAAAUGCGCAGAUAUCGGGAGGAACACCAAUGGCGAAGGCAGCUCGCUGGGACGGUACUGACGCUGAGGCGCGAAAGCGUGGGGAGCAAACAGG
rnacentral:rRNA from 1 species